AACUUUUCUCAAGGGGUGACGACAGCAAGGAAUUAACCCAGCUUCCUCAUCCAGGCACGACCUCUAUUUACUUACUCAGAUGACACUGUUGCAGCUUCAGGUUCAGACAGACUAUUUUGAGGACCCCUGACUGCUUUCUGGACACCCUCUUUGAGCCAAGUGGUGAAAAUGAAAGAUGAGUGAUUUUGAUGAAUGGAUUUCUGGAAAAUACAGAAAAAUGGAAGAAGGUCCUCUCCCUCUGUUGACUUUUGCUACUGCUCCCUACUAUGACCAGAAACCAGGAACUAGUGGAUUACGGAAGAAAACCUAUUGUUUUGAGGCGAAGCCAUGUUAUCUGGAGAAUUUCAUCCAGAGUCUAUUUUUUUCCAUAGACCUUAAAGAUCGCCAGGGAUCCUCACUGGUAGUUGGUGGAGAUGGGAGGUAUUUUAAUAAAUCGGCGAUAGAAACAAUAGUGCAGAUGGCGGCCGCUAAUGGGAUUGGUCGCUUGGUUAUUGGGCAGAAUGGGAUCCUCUCUACUCCUGCUGUAUCCUGCAUCAUUAGAAAGAUCAAAGCCAUUGGUGGGAUCAUUCUGACAGCCAGCCACAACCCGGGAGGGCCCAAUGGAGAUUUUGGAAUCAAAUUUAAUAUUUCCAAUGGAGGUCCUGCUCCAGAAGCAAUAACUGAUAAAAUCUUCCAAAUCAGCAAGACAAUUGAAGAAUAUGCAAUUUGCCCUGACCUGAAAAUAGACCUUGGAGUUCUGGGAAAGCAGCAGUUUGACCUGGAAAACAAGUUCAAACCAUUCACAGUGGAAAUUGUGGACUCUGUGGAAGCUUAUGCUACAAUGCUGAGAAACAUCUUUGACUUCAACGCACUGAAGGAACUGCUUUCUGGUCCAAACCGACUAAAGAUUCGUAUAGAUGCCAUGCAUGGUGUCGUGGGACCGUAUGUGAAGAAGAUCCUCUGCGAAGAACUCGGUGCCCCUGCGAACUCAGCAGUUAACUGUGUUCCUCUGGAAGACUUUGGAGGCCACCACCCUGACCCCAACCUCACUUACGCUGCUGACCUGGUGGAGACCAUGAAGACAGGAGAGCACGACUUUGGGGCUGCUUUUGAUGGAGAUGGGGAUCGAAACAUGAUUCUGGGCAAGCACGGGUUCUUUGUCAACCCGUCAGACUCCGUGGCUGUCAUUGCUGCCAACAUCUUCAGCAUUCCGUAUUUCCAGCAAACUGGGGUCCGAGGCUUUGCCCGCAGCAUGCCCACCAGUGGGGCCCUGGACCGGGUGGCUAAUGCUACAAAGAUCGCUUUGUAUGAGACCCCAACUGGCUGGAAGUUUUUUGGGAAUUUGAUGGAUGCGAGCAAACUGUCCCUUUGUGGGGAGGAGAGCUUUGGGACCGGUUCUGACCACAUCCGUGAGAAAGAUGGACUCUGGGCUGUCCUUGCUUGGCUCUCCAUUCUAGCCACCCGCAAACAGAGUGUGGAGGACAUUCUCAAAGAUCACUGGCAAAAGUAUGGCCGGAAUUUCUUCACCAGGUAUGACUAUGAGGAGGUGGAAGCUGAGGGUGCCAACAAAAUGAUGAAGGACUUGGAGGCCCUGAUAUCUGAUCGCUCCUUCGUGGGGAAACAGUUCCCAGUGGGUGAUAAAGUUUACACUGUGGAGAAAAUUGACAACUUUGAAUACAGUGAUCCAGUGGAUGGAAGCAUUUCAAGGAAUCAGGGCUUGCGGCUCAUUUUUGCAGAUGGUUCUCGCAUCAUCUUUCGACUGAGCGGCACUGGGAGUGCAGGGGCCACCGUUCGACUAUAUAUCGACAGCUAUGAGAAGGACAUUGCCAAGAUCUACCAGGACCCCCAGGUCAUGUUGGCUCCCCUUAUUUCCAUUGCUCUGAAGGUGUCCCAACUCCAAGAAAGGACGGGACGCACUGCACCCACUGUUAUCACCUAAGAAGACAGGCCAGAUGCGGGCAUUUCCACAAAGUCACCUUACCAUACAGACUAUUCCAGAGAGGCAGCCCAGCUCUGCACCCCUCCCCGACCCAGAGUGGACUCCCCCCGUUCCAGGUGACAGGGUCUCCAUCUGGGGAGUAGAGUCAACAAAGGCAGCCCCAGGCCCUGAAGACCGCCUCUGAGCAGAUUCACGGAAAGAAAGCCAUGACAGGCAAGGUGGGUACACCAGCCCCGGGCCUCACACCAUUGGCACACACAGCAUGUACUUGGGGAAGAGUGAGAGGCUCUUCUAUUCCUAUUAUGAGAGCAAGACACAUUCUUACAGUUUGGCAUGUCAUUACACAAAAGGAGUGAGGUCACUGCCAGCAAGACUGUGUCUCAUGUCUGUCUGCUUGUCCUGGGGACCUUUUGAGGGCUUUGGUUUGGUUUUUCACCACAUGUAGACUCUACCUAGAUCUAUUAAGCUGGAUUUGUGGGUGUGGGCUAAUAACUAUUUUCCAAAAAGCAUGUCUUCUGUGAUUCAGAGGGCUGCUGUCCAGCCGACAGAAAAGCCAGUUAAGAGUAGCGAUCUGUUUGCUUUUCACGACAGUGUUAUUUUGUAAAAGUUCUGUCUCCGUUCCUUUCUGACUUCAUUUUUUGUACUGUGAUUAAAAGGGCUAUUAUUAUCCCAGAUAAAGAGAUGGAAACUCUGGGAGCUUACAGGGCCUUACAGAGCCUCACAAACACGACGAGGGAGAAGGCAGACCUGCCAUGUCCAUCCUUUGGGUGUUUGGGAUUCUUUUUCCAGUUUACCAUUGUUGUAUAACAAAGCACCCCAAAAUCUAGUGGCGGUAAACUUUUGCACGAUCUUACUAUGCUCAUGGAUUCUGUGGGUCAGGAAAUUAGAGCACUGUGGAAAAAGCUUGUCUGAUCUGCAGUGUCUGGACCCUCACUGAGAAGACUGGAACAGCUGGGGAAUAACUCACAUGCCCAGGGGAUGGCAUCAUCUGGAGGCUCCCAGACACUGGGGACUAUUGACUGCUUCUCCGGCUCAUGACUUCUUUAACCGUGAGUUUCUCACAGCACGGUGCUAGCUUCUAAAAGGGAGCUUCCCAAGAGCAAGUGUACUGAGAAAGCCAGGCAGAAGCUAUAUUUUCCUUUCCCACCUGGCUGUGGAAGACAUGUAGCAUCACUUCUGCUAUAUCCUACUGGUUGUGACCAACUCGGGCCAGCCCAGAUUCAAGGGCAGGGGAGUUACAUCCUACCUAUUCUUGCAGGGGGUGGGGGUGGCAAGGUCAUUUACAGCAGAACAUGUGCAACAGGAGCUCUUGUAGGCAUCUUUGGAAAAUACAAUCUGUCACAAUUUUCAGAUUUUCUUCCAGUGAAUAUACCAUUCUGAGUCAUGUGAGUAUGAAAAUGAAUUUAAUUUAGAAAUUAUUAUCACCAGGAGCAUCCAUCACUUACCUGAGUAUAGACACGUGUUACCAUCUCACAUUCUGAUACCCAUGGAAGACAUGACAAAUUGAUUGCAGCACCGUUCCUACUAAACUCAGGGCUCCAGAUACCAUCUCAUGUUCCCAUACCCAUGACAGACAUGACAAAUUGAUUGCAGCACCGUUCCUACUAAGCUCCAGAUACCAUCUCAUGUUCCCAUACCCAUGACAGACAUGACAAAUUGAUUGCAGCACUGAUUCUACUAAGCUCAGGGCUCCAGAAAACUCAACACAAUACACUAGACAAGAAAUAGUCAGAAACCACAAUUGCACUGUGUGUUAACUAAAAUUUAAAUUUAAAGGGGGAAAAUUACCGAAAAAUAUUAAUCACUGCAGUGGGGGUAUGAAUGAAAACUUAUUUGCUACUUGGGAAUCUUCUUACUUUCUUACCUUUACAAUGUUUAACAAACACUUCACCUAGGGUGUGGAAGCCUACAGAACAGCCGGUCUGUAAAUUGAUGAAAAAUAUGUUCACAAUAUGGAGAAAAUUAGUGAUUACUGUUAAAUGAGAUGAAUCCCAAUUGAUUUCAGAAACAGCCUAAACCAUACUAAUAAAAUAAUUUUAGUGGUAUUUUUAAACUAA